rnacentral:rRNA from 1 species
UACAGAGGGUGCUAGCGUUGUCCGGAAUCACUGGGCGUAAAGGGCGCGUAGGCGGCCCGAUAAGUAGGGGGUGAAAUCUUGCGGCUCAACCGCAAGGCUGCCUUCUAAACUGUCGGGCUGGAGCACGGUAGAGGCAGAUGGAAUUCCCGGUGUAGCGGUGGAAUGCGUAGAGAUCGGGAAGAACACCAGUGGCGAAGGCGGUCUGCUGGGCCGUUGCUGACGCUGAGGCGCGAAAGCGUGGGGAGCAAACAGG